AACGGAGUAAAAAGAGUUGCUAGUUAAAUUAUAUUAAAAUUGAUGCAAUUACGCCAUCUAGAGGCAGGUUGAUUUAGUGUGACAGUGGGAUUCGCGUUGCAUUUACCCAGACUGGAGAUUACGAGAUACUGGAUUGUUGUCCCGAGAUCUAUUUGCUGAACCCACAAUUCCACACUGUCAUACUUUGUUCCAGGUAACUAUUCUUAUGUUGUGUAAAUGGUUUCAUCGUCAUGUUAUUCUCAUUGUGCAAGCUGCCUUAUACAUUAGCUUUAUAUGGAUAAGCAGCUUGCACUAGCUUAGCUAUAUUGUAGACCAGCGUGGUAGUUUGGAGAUUAGCCACAUGUGCUCGAGUGCUGCGUUUGCAAUGAUAAACAUGUUCCUUAUUUUGUUAUUUCAAUAUAAUGUAAAAUGGAUCAAGUAGUUUCACUAUUGUAAUGUUGAAAUGUACUGUAUGUAUGUUGUGUAAUUCAAGGCUUAUAUCAGAUAUUCUAAAACUUAGCUACUAUACGAUCACACACAGUUUUAUUUUGUUUCAUAGAUAUAUCAUUUACAUUUGCAACUAGCACAAAUAUAUUCAGGUAUUUGUAGGCUAUAGCAUUUACCCAGACUGGAGAUUACGAGAUACUGGAUUGUUGUCCCGAGAUCUAUUUGCUGAACCCACAAUUCCACACUGUCAUACUUUGUUCCAGCAAUAAAGAAACCUGAUCCAA